GACAGAGGGUGCAAACGUUGUUCGGAAUUACUGGGCGUAAAGCGAGUGUAGGCGGUCUUGUAAGUCGGAUGUGAAAGCCCCGGGCUCAACCCGGGAAGUGCACUCGAUACUGCGAGGCUAGAGUACUGGAGAGGUUGGUGGAAUUCUCGGUGUAGAGGUGAAAUUCGUAGAGAUCGGGUGGAACACCAGUGGCGAAGGCGCCUGUCUGGCUGACAACUGACGCUGAGACUCGAAAGCAUGGGGAGCAAACAGG
rnacentral:rRNA from 1 species